rnacentral:rRNA from 1 species
CCUACGGGGGUCAGCAGUGGGGAAUAUUGCACAAUGGGGGAAACCCUGAUGCAGCGACGCCGCGUGAGUGAAGAAGUACUUCGUUAUGUAAAGCUCUAUCAGCAGGGAAGAAAAUGACGGUACCUGAGUAAGAAGCCCCGGCUAACUACGUGCCAGCAGCCGCGGUAAUAAGUAGGGGGCAAGAGUGAUCCGGAUUUACUGGGUGUAAAGGGAGCGUAGACGGCAGUGCAAGUCUUGAGUGAAAGGCGGGGGCUCAACCCACGGACUGCUCUGGAAACUGUACGGCUGGAGUGCAGGAGAGGUAAGUGGAAUUCCUAGUGUAGCGGUGAAAUGCGUAGAUAUUAGGAGGAACACCAGUGGCGAAGGCGGCUUACUGGACUGUAACUGACGUUGAGGCUCGAAAGCGUGGGGAGCAAACAGGAUUAGAUACCCCAGUAGUC